rnacentral:rRNA from 1 species
UACGUAGGGUGCAAGCGUUGUCCGGAAUUAUUGGGCGUAAAGAGCUCGUAGGCGGUUUGUUGCGUCGGCUGUGAAAUCCCGAGGCUCAACCUCGGGUCUGCAGUCGAUACGGGCAAACUGGAGUACUGCAGGGGAGACUGGAAUUCCUGGUGUAGCGGUGAAAUGCGCAGAUAUCAGGAGGAACACCAGUGGCGAAGGCGGCGCUCUGGGCUGGAACUGACGCUGAGGAGCGAAAGCGUGGGGAGCGAACAGG